AUUGAACGCUGGCGGUAUGCCUAACACAUGCAAGUCGAACGGUAAAUAUUUUAGCAAUAGAAUAUGAGAGUGACGCACGGGUGCGUAACACGUAUGCAACCUACCCAAAACAGGAGGAUAGCUCGGGGAAACUCGGAUUAACCCUUCAUAGUAUUAUUGGAUGGCAUCAUUUGAUAAUUAAAACUUUGGUGGUUUUGGAUGGGCAUGCGUCUGAUUAGCUAGUUGGUGGUGUAACGGACCACCAAGGCGAUGAUCAGUAGGGGACCUGAGAGGGUGAUCCCCCACACUGGCACUGAGAUACGGGCCAGACUCCUACGGGAGGCAGCAGUAGGGAAUAUUGGUCAAUGGAUGGAAGUCUGAACCAGCCAUGCCGCGUGCAGGAAGACGGCCUUCUGGGUUGUAAACUGCUUUUGCCAGGGGAUAAAAUACCCAUGCGUGGGAAAUUGAAAGUACCUGGUGAAUAAGCCACGGCUAACUACGUGCCAGCCGCCGCCGUAA
rnacentral:rRNA from 1 species